rnacentral:rRNA from 1 species
GACGAACGCUGGCGGCGUGCUUAACACAUGCAAGUCGAACGGAAAGUCCCCUUUGGGGGUACUCGAGUGGCGCACGGGUGAGUAACACGUGAUUAACCUGCCCUUGACUUCGUGAUAACUUCAGGAAACUGGGGCUAAUACCGGGUAGGUAUCCUUGCUUCAUGUUGGUUGUUGAAAAGUUUCUACGUUUGUGGUUGGAGUGGCGGCUUAUCAGCUUGUUGGGCGGUUAGUUGCUUACCAGGGCUUUGAAGGGUAGCCGGCAUGAGAGGGCGAACGGCCACAUUGGGACUGAGAUACGGACCAGACUCCUACGGGAGGCAGAAGUGGGGAAUAUUGCACAAUGGGUGGAAGCCUGAUGAAGCAACGCCGCGUGCGGGAUGACGGCCUUCGGGUUGUAAACCGGUUUCAGAAGGGGCGAAGCUUGUGGUGACGGUACCUGCAGAAGAAGCAACGGCUAACUACGUG